rnacentral:lncRNA from 10 species
UUUCUCUCUCUCUCGGAUCACUUAUGCUAAAAUACACAAGCUGCCAUGUCACAAACAGCCCUGUGAAGAGGCCUACAUGAUACAGCAAAGAACUGAGGCCCUCAGUCCAGCAGCCAGUGAGGAAUUAACACCCUCAAUCCAACAACCUGUGAGGGAAUCAAGCCUGCUAAUGAUCAGAUAAGUGAACAUGCAAGUCCGUCCUUCAGUGCCAAUUGAGUCUUUUCUUUUUCUUGGGAUAGAAUCUUAUUCUGUCACAAAGCGGUAUGAUCUAGGCUCACUGCAACCUCUGCCUCCUGGGUUCAAGUGAUUCUCCUGCCUCAGCCUCCCGAAUAGCUGGGAUUAUGGGCACGUGCCACCACACCCAGCUAAUUUUUGUAUUUUUAGUAGAGACAGGGUUUUUCCAUGUUGAUCAGGCUGGUCUCGAACUCCUGACCUCAGGUGAUCCACCCACCUCAGCCUCCCACAGUGCUGGGAUUACAGGUGUGCACCACUACGCUUGAACUGAUUUUUGUAUUUUUAGUAGAGAUGAGGCUUCAUCAUGUUGGCCAGGCUGGUCUUGAACUCCCGGCCUCAAGUGAUCCACCCACCUCAGCCUCCCAAAGUACUAGGAUUACAGGUGUGAGCCACUGCACCCAGCCCCUACUUGAGUCUUAAGAUGAGACUGAAGGCCUGUCUGACAGUUUUACUGCAAUCUCAAAAGAGACCUUGAGCCAGCAAGAUCCAGCAAAGCCACUCUGGAUCCCUGAGCCACUGAAACUGUGAGGCAAAGAAACUGAGGCCCAGAGAGGCUCGAUGACAUGUUCAAAGUCAC